CUCCUCCUUUACUGUGUUGAUUCCCUUUAUGUAUUUAAAUGUUUCUAUCAUAUCCCCCCUGUCUCGUCUUUCCUCCAAGCUAUACAUGUUAAGAUCCUUUAACCUUUCCUGGUAAGUUUUAUCUUGCAAUCCAUGAACCAGUUUAGUAGCCCUUCUCUGAACCCUCUCUAAGGUAUCAAUAUCCUUCUGAAGAUACGGUCUCCAGUACUUUGUACAAUACUCCAAGUGAGGUCUCACCAGUGUUCUGUAUAAUGGCAUGAGCACUUCCCUCUUUCUACUGCUAAUACCUCUCCCUAUACAACCAAGCAUUCUGCUAGCAUUUCCUGCCUACCUUUAAGUCAUCAGAAAUAAUCACCCCUAAAUCCCUUUCCUCAUAUGUUGAGGUUAGGACUCGAUCAAAUAUUCUGUACUCUGCCCUUGGGUUUUUACGUCCAAGAUGCAUUAUCUUGCACUUAUCCACAUUAAAUGUCAGUUGCCACAAUUCUGACCAUUUUUCUAGUUUACCUAAAUCAUUUG